GGUUUGAUAGAUUUUUUAGUGUU
rnacentral:tRNA from 1 species